rnacentral:rRNA from 1 species
ACGGAAGGCAGCAGUGGGGAAUAUUGCACAAUGGGCGAAAGCUUGAUGCAGCGACGCCGCGUGAGUGAAGAAGUAUCUCGGUAUGUAAAGCUCUAUCAGCAGGGAAGAAAAUGACGGUACCUGACUAAGAAGCCCCGGCUAACUACGUGCCAGCAGCCGCGGUAAUACGUAGGGGGCAAGCGUUAUCCGGAUUUACUGGGUGUAAAGGGAGCGUAGACGGUUUGGCAAGUCUGAAGUGAAAUGCGGGGGCUCAACUCCUGAACUGCUUUGGAAACUGUCGAACUAGAGUGCAGGAGAGGUAAGUGGAAUUCCUAGUGUAGCGGUGAAAUGCGUAGAUAUUAGGAGGAACACCAGUGGCGAAGGCGGCUUACUGGACUGUAACUGACGUUGAGGCUCGAAAGCGUGGGGAGCAAACAGGAUUAGAUACCCUGGUA